UGGCCAGUCGGUUAAUCGGCAAACCAGUGCGCUGUUAACGCAUGACUCCUGGUUCGAGUCCAGGUUGGCCAG
rnacentral:tRNA from 1 species